GUCGAGGGGCAGCGGGAAGGUUAGCUUGCUAAUCUUUGCCGGCGACCGGCGCACGGGUGAGUAACACGUAUGCAACCUGUCCGGUACAGGGGGAUAAGCGGCGGAAACGCCGUCUAAUACCGCGUGACAACCCGAGGGGGCAUCCCCUUGGGUUCAAAGGAGAGAUCCGGUACCGGCUGGGCAUGCGGCACAUUAGCUAGUUGGCGGGGCAACGGCCCACCAAGGCGACGAUGCGUAGGGGUUCUGAGAGGAAGGUCCCCCACACUGGAACUGAGACACGGUCCAGACUCCUACGGGAGGCAGCAGUGAGGAAUAUUGGUCAAUGGGCGCAAGCCUGAACCAGCCAAGUCGCGUGAGGGAAGACGGCCCUACGGGUUGUAAACCUCUUUUGCCGGGGAGCAAGCCUGAGCACGUGUGCCCAGGCGGAGAAUACCCGGAGAGAAAGCAUCGGCUAACUCCGUGCCAGCAGCCGCGGUAAUACGGAGGAUGCGAGCGUUAUCCGGAUUUAUUGGGUUUAAAGGGUGCGCAGGCGGGCUGUUAAGCCGGCGGUAAAAAUUCAGGGCUCAACCCUGUCGAGCCGUCGGAACUGGCAGUCUUGAGUGGGCGAGAAGUAUGCGGAAUGCGUGGUGUAGCGGUGAAAUGCAUAGAUAUCACGCAGAACGCC
rnacentral:rRNA from 1 species